rnacentral:rRNA from 1 species
CCUACGGGAGGCAGCAGUGGGGAAUAUUGCACAAUGGGGGAAACCCUGAUGCAGCGACGCCGCGUGAGUGAAGAAGCGGUUCGGCGCGUAAAGCGCUGUCAGCGGGGAAGAAACACGGUUCGCGAGAGCCGCGGACGGUACCCGACCAAGAAGCACCGGCUAACUACGUGCCAGCAGCCGCGGUAAUACGGAGGAUGCGAGCGUUAUCCGGAUUUAUUGGGUUUAAAGGGUGCGUAGGCGGAUUUUUAAGUCAGCGGUAAAAUGUCCGGGCUAAACCCGGGCCGGCCGUUGAAACUGGGGAUCUUGAGUGGGCGAGAAGUAUGCGGAAUGCGUGGUGUAGCGGUGAAAUGCAUAGAUAUCACGCAGAACUCCGAUUGCGAAGGCAGCAUACCGGCGCCCGACUGACGCUGAGGCACGAAAGCGUGGGGAUCGAACAGGAUUAGAUACCCCGGUAGUC